AACAGAAGCAGGCAAGCCCCUGGCAUUCUUCUCCUGUAAGUACAGGUCCAGCCUUAGAUGAAAUAUCAGCUUCCAUUGUUUUCUAGGGAAGUCCUUCUUAAGUCCUUCUCUUACUUAAAAUAAAAGGGGGAAGUUUCUUUAGAAAGUGUGCAAAGCCAAGAGACACAAUGCACAGAUCCUUUGGGGGCUGAGCAGAGACCAGCUGUUGAGUUGGCAUAUGUUUCCCUGGUCCCUUUUUUUUUUUUUUUUUUUUUUUCCCCACUCAACUCUCAUUUCUGUUUUUCUCUUUGCUUCCAGUCAACUACCCAGGCCGGGGCCUCUGGAAAUAUGCCCUUCUCCACCACUGCCCCAGCACACGGGACUGAAGUCAGCGAUUCCAAGCACGGGGAAAGUGGGUUUCCACCUUAAAAGGAUCACGGAUUCCUAGUGAUUGAGAGGAAAGCUAAUACAGAAUUUGGAAAAUUAAGUUUCCAACGUAAUUUUUUCAUGUGUAUUUAUUUAUUUUCUGAGAGAGACAGAGAGAGAGAGAGAGAGAGCGAGCAAGCCGUGGAGGGACAGGGAGAGUGGGAGAGAGAGAAUCCCAAGCAGGCUCCACACUGACAGCAUGGAACCUGACGUGGGGCUUGAACCCAUGAACCGUGAGAUCAUGACCUGCACCGACAUCAAGAGUCGGCCACUUAACCAGCGGAGCCACCAAGACCCGCCCCUCUGAUGGCAAUCUGGCAAUACGGAGAUGAGCUGCAUGACCCAGCGAUCCGCGCUCAGGACGGACCCUAGAGAAACGCACACGUAUGUACCCGGAGGCAGUGUAAGAAGGCUGGCCGCGGCCUGGUCUGUCGUGACGAAAAUUCCAAGCAGCCGAAAUACCCCAGGAUGCAAGCCCUGAUGGCCCACAAGAGGGAGAUCUAGAACAGUUCAGCCACCAGAUGUGUAAGUGUAUAAACCGAUCUAAGGACACACAGCAUCUUGGGAAGCUUUGCAGGAGCAAAGGGCGCCGAUAGAGGCUCCCGCCUGCUCUCUAAGGCAAGCGCCCUUUGAACGCGUUCAGAAAUCUGCAGAGCAACCGCUCACGGUGAAGAAGACAUACCACAGGGUGCGAUGGUAAACUGAACGGUGUUUAAAACGUGCGGUUUAAUGAGAUG